UGGCCUGGCCCAGAGCGGCACUGUCCCUACCCCCAAGCCCCUCUCAGUGGAGGCUCCACCUGUCCCUGAGACUGGGGAGGAUGGAAAGCUAAACUCACCACCCAAAGCCAGCAAAUUCCAGCAAGUCCCCCACCCAAGGGAGGACCCCAGCAACUUGCCUCAGCCCUCCUCAGUCCUCAAUUCCAUCCAGCCCCCACCCCCCCGAACCUACCAUGGCCAACUAUUAUGAAGUGCUGGGUGUACAAUCUAGUGCCUCCCCUGAGGACAUCAAGAAGGCCUACCGAAAGCUGGCUUUGCGUUGGCACCCUGACAAGAACCCCGACAACAAAGAAGAGGCCGAAAAGAAGUUUAAGCAGGUUUCCGAAGCCUAUGAAGUUUUGUCAGACUCUAAGAAGCGUUCUGUGUACGACCGGGCAGGCUGUGAAGGCUGGAGAGCGGGUGGCGGGGCCAGUGUCCCCCACGGAGGUCCCUUCGGUGCUGGGUAUCCCUUCCGAAAUCCUGAGGAUAUCUUCCGUGAGUUCUUUGGGGGACUGGACCCUUUUUCCUUCGAAUUCUGGGACACCCCGUUCAGCAACCGAGGCCGGUCCCAUGGUUUGCGUGGAGCCUUCUCUUCGGGCUUCGGUGAGUUCCCAGCUUUCAUGGAAGCCUUCUCAUCUCUCAAUACUCUGGGCCGUGGUGGGGGCAACCGCUCCACCUUUUCAUCCACUUCCUUUGGUGGCUCCGGUUCUGGCAGCUCAGGGUUCAAGUCAGUGAUGUCAUCUACUGAGAUGGUGAACGGCCGUAAGGUAACCACCAAGCGCAUCAUCGAGAACGGCCAAGAGCGUGUAGAGGUGGAAGAAGAUGGACAGCUCCGGUCAGUUACUGUCAACGGCAAGGAGAAGCUGAAGAGGGUGGACAGCAAGUGACAGCCACCUAACUCAUCCCUGGGUCAGCCUAGGGGGGCCACAAGGGGCCACAGUAGUCGCAACCUAGUGGUUAAUAAAUGUGCCAAAGUAUUGCUUGGCAUCGCACUGUCCUCUCUGCUGGACCACACUUCCUGGGAGCCAUGGACAGCAUCCACUCUGGUUUUUCUGUGGGAAUCCCAUCUCAAGGUGCUCCUGUGUGAGAAGCGGGACCUGCUAGUCUCUUUCCAGCUCAUUAAAUUAUUCCUGAAAUGUC